GUCGUGCGUUUUGAAAAACGACCCAGGGAGUGCACUUGAUUGGCGAGUCUAACCCGCGAACCGGGGAAGGCGCAGGGAAACCGAUACGGCCGCAGCAUUGCGAGGGCCACCGUGUUCAAGCGCGGGGAGUCAAUUGGGUGCGACCC
rnacentral:rRNA from 1 species